AACGAACGCUGGCGGCGUGUUUAAGACAUGCAAGUCGCACGGUGUCAUUUUGGUAGCAAUACUUGGAUGGCAUAGUGGCGCACGGGUGAGUAACACGUGAAUUACAUGCCCUGUAGAGGGGGAUAGCCCAGGGAAACUUGGAUUAAUACCCCAUGGUCUCGCAAGAGUAAAAGGUGGCCGCAAGGCUGUCGCUGCAGGAUUGGUUCGCGCCCUAUCAGCUUGUUGGCGGGGUAACGGCCCACCAAGGCUACGACGGGUACCUGGUCUGAGAGGACGAUCAGGCACACUGGAACUGAGACACGGUCCAGACACCUACGGGUGGCAGCAGUCGAGAAUAAUUCACAAUGGGGGCAACCCUGAUGGUGCAACGCCGCGUGGAGGAUGACGGUCUUCGGAUUGUAAACUCCUGUCAUCCGGGAGUAAGACCUGGGCAUUAACAGUGCACAGGGUUGAUAGUACCGGAAGAGGAAGGGACGGCUAACUUCGUGCCAGCCGCCGCCGUAACAC
rnacentral:rRNA from 1 species